rnacentral:rRNA from 1 species
CUGCUGCCUCCCGUAGGAGUCUGGGCCGUAUCUCAGUCCCAAUGUGGCCGGCCAACCUCUCAGUCCGGCUACUGAUCGUCGCCUUGGUGGGCCGUUACCUCACCAACUAGCUAAUCAGACGCGAGGCCAUCUUCCAGCGAUAAAUCUUUGACAUCAGUGCCAUGCGACACCAAUGCGUCAUGCGGUAUUAGCAGUCGUUUCCAACUGUUGUCCCCCUNUGGAAGGCAGGUUCCUCACG